AACAAACACUGCGGUCCCUCAUUUCCUCCUGAGUUUCUCUGUGUGCAGACUGGUGGUCAAAAAUACCUUGGCCAGCAGAUGGUUUGCUGUUUCCAGUUGUUGCUCCAGAUGCUUGUCUCUGCAAAGACAACAGAGAAAAACAUCCUCAUCAGAACAUUACAUGUGAAUAGGAAAAGCAUGAUGGGAAGUCAUGCUCACACAGAACUACAGUCGGUCUCGGUGAACAUGUUGGAGCACAGCCUCUGCUCUGUGUGAGUGCAGACAGGAUGAGCUGUGGUGAUCUAUAAUCCAUGUUUCUGCCGCGGAGGCACGCUCGCUCUGCCCUAACAGCUCCCAACUGUUCUCCCCUGACAGACUGGUGCUGCUCUGCAACAUUACAAGAAGCACUCAGCUCCCAAAAUAAGACAGCUUUCAAAUGCUCCACACCACCACGCGCACAGGAGGAGUCCUGUCUGCAUCGGUGGCAUCGCUCACGUCCUCAAUGUGUUUUCCUGGAGAAAGAUAAUUUUGCAUCACGUUGAGCUUUCGUGCAAAGAAAAAAAAUUGUAACUUAACAUUCUGCUCCUGCAAAAAUGUUUCUAGUACGAGAGCAUCACUCACACAGCUGAGCCGUGUGGGUGUGAUUUGAUUUAGAGCACAUUGUAUUUCAGAGACCGUCCUUCCAUCUCAGCCCGCAGCCUGAAUUAUUAAUCCCGUGUGUUCAAUGAAUUUCAAAUGCCAAAGUAGUGUUGAUGUUAUCGAGUUCAGUGUGAGCGAAGCAAAUAUUGAACUGACUCAAGACACUCGAACAUCCUCCUCCUCGAGUCCCAUGUGCCAUCGUGAGUGAGAGAGCCAGAGGGAGAGACAGUUGCUUUGCAGUGUGGCCGUCAUCUGCUUUUCUGUUUACACGCACAAAUCGAAGUGAGCGAACACCAUUGGGAUUCCCAGCGACACGCAGACUCUCGUCCGCUUCAGUGCCGCACGGCGACGGUGCCAGACAUUGCACCUCCACCCACCAGAACAUGUGCGAGCAUUCAGCGGCAGCCAGAGUCCGCGAACAAUAACGUGUGAGCGAUUGUCUCGGUGCAGCUGGAAAACGCAAUGCAAUUUUGAGAAAUCAAGACAAAUGCACAAAGUUGAUAUUAAAAAGCUGCUGCAGGG